GUGCUUGCUUCGGCAUCUCAUAUACUAAAAUUGGAAUGAUACAGGGGAAAUUAGCAUGCCCCUGCACAAGGAUGACAUGCAAUUCAUGAAGCAUUCCACAUUUUU